rnacentral:pre_miRNA from 1 species
UGUCAAAGUUUCCGCGGCAGUUAACUGCAGAAGUUUCCUCGACAGUUAACUGCCGAAGGGGUAU